UGAGGAAUAUUGGACACUGGGGGAAACCCUGAUCCAGCCAUGCCGCGUGAAUGAUGAAGGCCUUAGGGUUGUAAAGUUCUUUCACCGGUGAAGAUAAUGACGGUAACCGGAGAAGAAGCCCCGGCUAACUUCGUGCCAGCAGCCGCGGUAAUACGAUGGGGGCUAGCGUUGUUCGGAAUUACUGGGCGUAAAGCGCACGUAGGCGGAUUGUUUAGUCAGGGGUGAAAUCCCGAGGCUCAACCUCGGAACUGCCUUUGAUACUGGCAACCUUGUGUGCGGGAGAGGUGAGUGGAAUUCCGAGUGUAGAGGUGAAAUUCGUAGAUAUUCGGAGGAACACCAGUGGCGAAGGCGGCUCACUGGCCCGGUACUGACGCUGAGGUGCGAAAGCGUGGGGAGCAAACAGGAUUAGAUACCCCUGUAGUCC
rnacentral:rRNA from 1 species